rnacentral:rRNA from 1 species
ACCGAUAGUGAACCAGUAGAGCGAUCGAAAGAUGAAAAGAACCCUCACAAAGGGAGUUAAAUAGAAUCUGAAACCAUGUGCCUACAAGCGGUCGGAGCACGAUUGAACGUGUGACGGCGUGCCUUUUGCAUAAUGAUCCGGCGAGUUAGCGUAAACGGCCCGGUUAAGAGUCUCCGGCUCGAAGCCAUAGGGAAACCAAGUCUGAAUAGGGCGAUUGUCGUUUGUGCUAGACGCGAACCCCAGUGAUCUACCCAUGAGCAGGUUGAAGCGCGGGUUAAACCGCGUGGAGGACCGAACCCACUUGGGUUGAAGACUUGUGGGGAGGAGUGAAAGUCUAAUCAAACUGGGAGAUAGCUCGUUCUCUUCGAAAUAGCUUUAGGGCUAGCCUUGAGCAACUAUGAUACGGGGGUAGAGAUACUGAAUUGGACACUGGCCCUCCCCAGGGUACGGUUCCUAACCAAACUCCGAAUACCGUAUAAACUAUCUCAGGAGUCAGUCCGCGAGGGAUAAGCUUCGCGGACGAGAGGGAAACAACCCAGAUCGCCAGCUAAGGUCCCUAAAUAGGUCUCAGUCACUAAGGAAGUUUGAAUGCCGAGACAGCCAGGAUGUUGGCUUAGAAGCAGCCAUCAUUUAAAAAGUGCGUAACAGCUUACUGGUCGAGCAUUUGAGCGCCGAUAAUGAACGGGAGUAAGGCCUAUACCGAAGCUGCGGAUUUCGCAGUAAUGUGAAGUGGUAGAAGAGCGCUGUACAGGAGAUACAAGCCAUACCGUAAGGAGUGGUACCGGCCUGUACAGGUGAUUAUGUCGGAAUGAGUAACGAUAAAACAGGUGAGAAUCCUGUUCGCCGAAAGCCUAAGGUUUCCUGGGGAAGGUAAUUCCGCCCAGGGUUAGCCGGUACCUUAGUCGAGGCCGAAAGGCGUAGACGAUGGAUAAUAGGUUAAUAUUCCUAUGCUAUGUGUGUGGACUGAUGGAGGGACGGUGUCCAGAAAGUGAGCGGCCGAGUAGAAAUGGCCGUGGACUGUUUGAUUCCGCCGGGCGAAAACCGGCAUGAGGAAAAGAGCUGGACCGAGUGACUUUGAGACCGAAGUCAUUGGAAGGACAUCCAAGAAAAGCUCCUAAGGGUUGAAGCACACAUAACCGUACUAAAACUGACACAGGUAGGCGGGUUGAGUAUACUAAGGCGCUCGGGAGAAUACUGGUUAAGGAACUCUGCAAAAUGGCCCCGUACGUUCGCAAUAAGGGGUGCCUUCGGAGGUUUAUAGCUUUUGGAGGUCACAGUAAAUCGGUAUCAGCAACUGUUUAUCAAAAACAUAGGUCCGUGCCAACUCGUAAGAGGAUGUAUACGGACUGACGCCUGCCCGGUGCCGGCAAGUUAAGGAAGGGGGUUAGCAGCAAUGUGAAGCUCUCGACCGAAGCUCCGGUAAACGGCGGCUCUAACCUUGAGAGUCCUAAGGUAGCGAAGUUCCUUGUCGGGUAAGUUCCGACCUGCAUGAAAGGCGUAAUGACUGAUACACUGUCUCAACUCUCAACCAGUAGCCCGGUGAAAUUGUAGUCGUGGUGAAGAUGCCACGUACCCGCAGUAAGACGGAAAGACCCCGUGAACCUUUACUGUAGGCAGAUAUUGGUCUGAGACCUAAUUUGUGUAGGAUAGGUGGGAGGCAUUGAAGUGAAGGCGCUAGCCUUUGUGGAGCCAACGUUGAAAUACCACCCUGAUUAUGUUUUAGUUCUAACACUGAUUCCCUUGAAACAGGGCGGUGGACAGUUUCUGUUGGGCAGUUUGACUGGGGCGGUCUCCUCCGAAAGAGUAACGGAGGAGUUCAAAGGUACCCUCAGCCUGUUUGGCAAUCAGGCGUUGAGCGUAAUGGUAGAAGGGUGCUUGACUGCGAGACCUAUAAGUCGAGCAGAUACGAAAGUAGGACAUAGUGAUCCGGUGGUCCCGAAUGGAAGGGCCAUCGCUCACCAGAUAAAAGGUACUCCGGGGAUAACAGGCUUAUCGCUCCCGAGCGUCCAUAGCGGCGGAGCGGUUUGGCACCUCGAUGUCGGCUCAUCACAUCCUGGGGGUGGAGGAGCUCCCAAGGGUUUGGCUGUUCGCCAAUUAAAGUGGUACGUGAGCUGGGUUCAGACCGUCGUGAGACAGGUCGGUCCCUAUCUGCUGUGGGCGCACGAAACUUGAGGAGAUACAAUCUUAGUACGAAAGGACUUUAUUGUACGUAGCUCUGGUGUUCCAGUUGUCUCGCUAGAGGCACGGCUGGGUAGCUAACUACGGAAUGGAUAAACGCUGAAAGCAUAUAAGCGUGAAGUCGGCUCCAAGAUAAGGUUUCGUUGCACUUUAUGUGUGAAAGUCCCCUGGAAGACGACCAGGUUGAUAGGUCGGAUGUGUAAGCCCUGUAAGGGGUUCAGCUAACCGAUACUAAAGGACGAAUGCUUGAUCAC